UGCAGAAUCCCGUGAACCAUCGAGUCUUUGAACGCAAGUUGCGCCCGAAGCCAUUAGGCCGAGGGCACGUCUGCCUGGGUGUCAAACAUCGUUGCCCAAACACAAUGUCCUUCUCCGGGCAUCAUGUGAAGGGCGGAUGCUGGCCUCCCGUGAGCACGCCUCGCGGUUGGCCUAAAUGCGAGUCCACGGUGGCGAGCACCACGACGCACGGUGGUUGAGUAACGCUCGAAGCCAGUCCUGCGUGUCUCGUCCCAAUACACGGCUCCUUGACCCUCUUGCAUCCCACGGAUGCUUCCAACGCGACCCCAGGUCAGGCGGGGCUACCCGCUGAAUUUAA
rnacentral:rRNA from 2 species